GCGCCCGUAGCUCAAUUUGGACAGAGCGUUGGAUUCCGGUUCCAAAAGUUGGGGGUUCGAGUCCCUUCGGGCGUG
rnacentral:tRNA from 1 species